UUUUUUUUUUUUUUUUUUUUUUUUUCCUAGUCCAGGGAACCCGGCCCCUACCAGCAGCCCUUCCUUUCACCCUUUCCCUUGUUUCUUGAUCCUUCCGUUACCCUAGGCUGACCUGUAUAAAACACCCAAUCUGUGCCAGUACGGGGGUGGAGUCCGAGAGAAACAAUUAGAACCCUUGGGAGUUGGCCACCCAGGUGGUGUUUCUCCCGGAGCCUUAUUAGCAUGUCUUUGGCUGGUGCUAGAGGUCAUAUAGCAUCCCUGACUCCUUAGCUUCACAUGCCGGCAGCCACCCCUUCAUCACUGUGACGCCAAAAUCACCCCUUCAGAUUUCCAAAUGUCUCCUCGAUUGGGAGAACAGCUCCAGGCUGAGAACUAAUUAGCUGAUAAUUAAGAUCAGAUGACACUAAAUGAAGUCCACUGUCUCACGGAAGUCCUAUUACCAUGCUUUGCAGAACUGAGGGGAUCUUCAGGCCCAUCUUUUUCCCAGGGUAUUAAGUAUUUUCUUCUAAUGAAGACACGGUUGAAGAGUGUUAAAAAAAAUAGUGGAUUUAACAAAAAACCAAAACAUACAAAAACAAAAACAAAAAGCAAGCAACAACAAAAACAAAGAAUUAUGGGGUGGAGAGUUGGCUGUACUCUGAGGCAGAGUGGUUUACACAAUGAGCUCGAGGUCGGCCUCAGAAAUGGUUCAGCUGGUUGAAUAUUCAUUGAGAAUCUGUACACCAGACACCUGUGUAAACGAGGGAUCCAUUCAAGAACAACCACAAAAACCUCUGCCUCCUGGUUGCAUGCGUGAACUCACAGCAUGUACACACAACAGUGAGCAAACCCAAACCCGACUAAGUCCCAGCAUAGAGUGGGAAGGUGGGACCGAAGUUCUGCACCUGACUGAGGAGCUACUGGUAUUUGAUAACCAAUGGGAGAGGGAAAGUCAGUUUUCUUUAAAUGAUUUGACAAUGAAGGGACCGGCUCCCCUUUUGGCAGUCAUAGCGGCGGAACACGUGCUUGUAUGACCUUGUCCUGGACACUAGAAAGUCAGAUGCCUGCCUCGUGACAAGGAACCAAUCAGAAGUUAGCUGUGGCGCUAUGCUUUACGACCCUGGGUGUACUUUAUGGACAAGCACACAGCAAGCAAUGACGCAAAGCAUAGCAACCACCCUGGGAGGGCCUUUGGGCCAUAACAACCAAUUGGCCAAUCAACACAGGGCAAUCCCUCCAAGGCUGGAGGCAUACCAAUAGUGAGCCUGUGUGUACCCCUAGACACUCCCCUUACGCUGCCCUAUAAGAUCUCAGUCCUGUGGCUUCUCAGAGUCUUUGCUAGCCAUCCGCCAUGGCGGGUGGGUGAAAGACCCGAGCUAACAUGGGGUUAGCUUGUUAAAUUACAAUAAAGCCUCAUGCUGUUUGCA
rnacentral:lncRNA from 1 species